ACGUCACGCCUCACCUAUGAGUGGGUGCGGGAUUUACCUGUUGCCGCAGGUAACAUACCCAAGAAGGUGGAGUACAAAAACGCCGUGGAGUACAAAACCCGAGCGAGCGAGCGAUCGAUCGAGCGGACCUAGAGCCGGACCCCCCGCCCCCCGGCGGACCCCCUCACCCGCGGUAAUACUGCGCUGAGAAGUGCGGAGACCGGCCGCUUCGGGCCGCCAACUCAACCCGAGAAAGAAGAAGUUAGGGAGUCCGCGAAGGAGUCUAGGAAAGAUUAAUAAAAGUUAAACUUCCGGAAGAAAGAGAAGGGGAACGGAAGGUAUCCGGGGACUGACAGCGUUCGCCUCGUAUGCGGUUCUGGACCUGCUGAGCCAUGCCUGGGCGCAGUGCGCGGGGUCCCCCCAACCCCCGCCCCCAUCCACGCUACGUAAGCCGUCCCGAAACUGUGGGCUACCGCCAGCCACCCUUGUAUUAUAAGGAUGGCAAAGUCGCCCGGAAAUCGCAGCGUGAGCCCUGCGUGGAGGUCCCCAGGCCGUCUAAUCCCCGGUACUCGCAAAAGGGCCGCCCCCCGACCGCUAACGGCUGCGGGGCGGAGACACUGGGCUUCGUGCCGGGCUCCGCGGACUCGGCUGUGCCGGCCCCUCCAUGCGGGCCCUGUGGCUCCCUGGGUGGCUGGAGCGGCUGCCUGGCGUUUGUGUGCUGCAUGCUGACCUGCGGCCUGUACGGCGCCCCGAAGCCCUGCCAUGCCACGGACGAGUCGUCCACUGACCCCGAUCCUGGAGUCGGUGCCGCCCCCUCCUCCUCUGGCAAGAGGGACCCAGAGAUGUAUGCAAGCAACUUCACCUCCAACGGCCUGGCCCUCAGCAACGCCACCUGCGGGGUCUCCCUGGAGCCCACCUGCAAAUCCGUCAAGCUGCCCGGCUCUGACAGCUUCACGUACCACGACGUGCGCAUCGGCGGCCAGAAGGUACGCUACCCAGAUGGCCCGAGUGCCUCGCGCCGGGCGCGACCCCCUGGCACCACCCCUAAGGGCGAAACCCCGCGGCCCAUCAGUGACACUAGCAUCUACUCCCGAGAGGACCUGUACCUGGACGACCCCAGUGACAGCGGCACGGACAUUGACACGCUGAUUCAGCGGAAGCUUCUGGAGCUGUAUAAGAUGCACCAGAUCGAGCAGCUGGCCCAGUGCACCUCAGACUCCUCGUUCUCCCGGCGGACCAACGAAAUCAGCGAGCUCAUCAACAACAUCGCCCAGGACUAUAACCUGCGGGAAAAGGAAGCUGAGUGCCGGCUGGUGCAGGGUGUCAUUCGCAUCAGCACCCGCAAGAACAAGGUGCUCAGGGACAGAGACCCCGCCCCCCAGGAGGCGUGGUCACGGGUCAAUGGGAGGCGGGACAAAACCAUCUCUGAUAGUGGCCACGAUACCAUGACGGACACCUUCAAUAGCAACGAUACGGAGCCGGAGGUCAAAGUCUCGGAACAGACGCAGUCGGAUGAACUGGCCAGAAAGCUGAGACACAGUGGGCGAGCUGCAUCCUCCACUUCCCCACUGGUGUCUCCUCACCAUCAGGAGAUGGAGACUGACUCAUCAGGAGCCCCCUUGCUGCGCUUACACCGGACGUGAGGCUGCCCCCCCCCCCCCCCCCCCCGCGUUGAGGCCUCUUCUGGGGUCCCUGGUUGUCCCUUAUGACUCUGACUUUCGCGGCCCGCCGCGUGGUGCUGCCCGCUUUCAAGAAAGGACCCGCCCACCCUUGUCUUCUCCCCCGCCUUCUCUCAUUGAACCUAACAAAACAGACUCCGCAGGACAAAUCCCUACCCCUCCCCCCCACCCCCACCCCCCCCGCAUUAGAUGAUUGCAUCUUCCUGGGAGUGCAUCGGCACGGCAGACUGCGCAAAGCAUGAUGGGAAGCCAAGGGUUUUUAAUGAGGACGGUGGAGCAGUCUGUCGUGGGCAGGUGGCACCUGUUCUGUUAGAUGUUUCCAGGAGAGUCCAUAUGUGCUGACUGGGCCAUGUCACUGCAGACUGUGAUGCCUGCUAUCCUGCCAUAAUGAACAGGCAUGUAGACUGUGUGUGUGUGUGUGUGUGUGUGUGUGUGUGUGUGUGUGUGUGUGUGUGUGUAUGUGUGUGCGUGCGUGUGUACAUACAUACUACCUAGUUUUUUUUAUCCUUACAUGGCUGCUUUGGUAUUUCUGUGGAAGAAGGAAGAUGAAAAGUUCUUUCUCUGGGAAUAUUGGUUGCUUUUUAAAGUAACAUUUUUAUUUUUCUUAUUUUUUUUUUCUUUAAAAUAAACCGACUAAUUUGACCCUCGUGUUGUCUUGUCAUCUGGCCGCGUCUCUCUGGAUCACUCUCUCACCUCCGAUUGUUGAUGUUAAGUCACCCUUCGUGUGUUUCUGGGUGGCCUGAAUGAGAAGUAGAAAUGGGGGGGGGGGUCACUGCCUGGCUUAACCCCAUGACAAGCCAGUGGGCGAGACGAUAAGAUAGGUGACUAACAUGCAAGAUGAACCCCCCCCCCCCCCGUGCCCUAAUUUUAUUGUGGCUGGUUUCCCAAGAACUGCUGUGGACUGUAGUUCUCUGUCCUGACAUGCAUGUAGACACACACACUCGCACACACACUCACACGCAGAGAAUGUAACGCAUUCUCGCAUUCAGCUCCUUGCUCACAAACCUUCACUCUUAAGCGUUCUCCUCCCUGCACGCACAGCACACACUUUAUCAAGCCCUUUAGAUGGUUGAAAUCUACUGAAAACAAACACACCCCAAUUAAGUGAACGAGGGGAUUCUGCUGGCAAAUUUGCUGGCCUACAGGUGACCUUUGUGAGGUAAGCCAGUGUGUGUGCUUAGCUGAAUGUGACCCCCUUCAUAAUUAAAUGUUUGUUCAGGUGGGCUGAGAUUCACUGGAGGGAAACUGGUUUUCAGCUAAAUAACCUCCAACUCACCUCCCAUCUCUCCCAAAUAAAUAAUUAAAAUGUUACAAGUUCCAAUUUACUGAUCCAAGGUCCAGUGGUUAUGUUUGAUCUUAAGCCUUGUAAUGGCGAUGUGGCACUUGACUCUACCGCCAAACGGUCUGUGUCUCCUGCUCUCCAGCGUUCCGAUCCACGCCCCCAGGCUGCGCGAUCAAGACCUCGAUCUCUCACACUUGGUCUGCCUCUCCACAUUCAACCCCCCCCCCCUUUUUUUGCCAGGGGGCUGCAAAACCCGCUCGGCUGCUUUCCUGCAAUGUGAUACGGGAUGAGACGCCUGUUCUUUUGUUACGCUGGUGCCCGUCGUGGAGAGAUGGUAGGCCCGCUAACGGCAGAUCUCGACACCACCACGUACUGUGUGACUGCCGCUGGGGCACGGGGUCUCCUGGGCAGUGCAGCCGGGGAUUCUGGGAUAUGGCUGUCGCCGGAAGGUUCUGAGUGAGCCGCUGAUGAUCGGUGAAGUACAACAAUCACGUACGGGGACGGGCACUGUAGUGAGACAAAAGGAUUCCACAUUGUCUCCUUCGCCGAUGGCGCCGUCGUCUUUCGGCUUUCUGAUGUCCGGUAAUCCCCGCGUGUGUGUGAACGGCGCUAAAGACGGAGGCGGCUGGGCUGGUGCCAGAUGGAGCUGUGGCGAGUUUCAGUGCGGUUCAUUGUCCGGGCAUGUCUGUGUCAUGCAUGAGUUACCUGGGACCAUUGCAGAUCUGGCAUCGUUUUAUCACAUUUAGCUUUCCGUAAAAGAGUUUUUAGCAGUUUUUUUCUCGAAAAAAAGAAAUCCAAGUUUUACUGAGUUAUAUAUAUAUAGUCACAUAUGUUAUUAUUAUUAUGAUAUUGACGAUGGUGUGUAGGAUAGGUGGUGCAGUGGUGCUGCUACCUCCCAGUGAGAAGGUCCUGGGUUCGAUUCCUGGGGACUUUUCCGUGUAUCGUUUGCAUCUUCUCAUUUAAUGCGUGGGUUUCUGCUGGCGGCUCUGGUUUCCUCCCACAGUCCAAAAACUACACGGUAGGUUAAUCGGUGACUCUAAGUUGGCCACGUAUUUUUGUGCGUGUGCCCUGCGGUGUGCUGGUGCCCACCCAGGGUUGGUUCCCGCCUGCGCCCGUUGUUCCCGGGAUAGGCUCCUGUCCCCGUGACCCUGGUCGGGAUUUAGCAGUUACAGUGAUGGAUGGAUAAUUGAAAUAGUGCUUUUGUUAUGGGGCAUUUCGCUUUAAUUUUGAAAAUGCCUGUUGAGCAGUUGAAUAAUGGGGGGAGUGGUUUGCAUUUCUACCUGUGAGUGCGGGUGUUGUUGAGUUCAGACUGCGUAUAAUUAGCCAUGUGACUGACUGACAGCGCUUGUUAGGACAUCUUGUCUUAUUAGGUCUGAAUGACUGAAUAAUACCAGGUGUGGUGGUUUGACAGCCAUCAGACUUCACAGGCGAUCUGCAGCAGCAGAUCCUUGGCGAAAAUAUGCAGCUCUACCUGUCCUGAGAUCUGCAUUAAGUCAAGCCCUCAGAAAGGGCAUUCCAGAGUCACAGUGAAGACCUCAGCAAGGCGAGCUCAGAGGCAAAGUUAAAUCAUCUGUACAAAGAACACAGAGGCGAAGAGACACAGGCAGCACAAUGCUGGAUCUCUUGGGGAUCGUCAUCGGCCUCAUGUUUGUCAUUGUGUUCAUUUCCAAGGAUAUAAAGGAGGGCUGGAAGGGGCCAGCACAGAGAGGCCGGGAGCACCAGCAACACCAGCAGCACCAGCAGCCCCGAAGCAAGGUGGCCCAGAUCCUCAAGUGGAAAAAGCCACGCAUAUUUAACAAGGACGUCACUGACAAUGACCUCAAGGUGAUGGCCACUAUCCUCUCCGCCGGCCUGGUGGAUGUGGACCCCUCAUCCGUGCAGCAGCUCAAAGAGUUCCGUGACCUGCGGGGGGCUUCGACCUGAGCGACUUGCGGCCCUCUGACAUCGGCGGCCCUCUGACAUCGGCGGCCGGUUAGCGCUGAAGGGACAUGGCAGCUGUGUGCUUGGUACACAGCGCCCCCCCCCAUUCACUCUAAUGCCCACUAACGCUAACCGCCCAUCCAUCAGCUGCUGACUCUUUGAUCCAGGUGUGGAAUUCCUCGCUUCAGGAUGGAUCUUCCUUUGAGACCAGGUUCUUCCCGCUUUAAAGACAAUUGUCCUCUUUUCAGAAGACAGCAAAGCAGAUUCAGAAACUGGCCAAACUGCUACUGCUGGGAAGUUUUCCAUCCUAUUUCACACCACUCUGAAUUCAGGGACUUACCACAACAGAUCAGCUGAUCCUCUCAUAGACAAACAAGGAAAGAAUGAAUGAAUGAAUGAAUGCGUUCAAUGUAAAAACAUUUAUCAAAAUCGCAAUUAAAUAGUGUUUAAAAUGGUAUUUAACAGUUUAAAGGUUUUUACAUCAGUUUAUUUAGACUGGAUAAUGCUUCACAUCAUAUAGUGAUUAGCUACUCCUUUGUAGAAUGGGAGCGACCUCUUGUCUGCUAACUCCACCUUAAUGUGACCCAUCCCAUGCGAGUCCUGACUCUGCUACAGUGCGUGUUUCAUUUGUUGUCUGUUAGGUCGGUAUUAUUCAGUAUCUUUUGUCUUGCCUGCCUGCCUGCCUUCUUACCAAAAGUGUAUGAAGUGCAAACGCAUAUAGACGUCUGUUCCGCGUCAGUGUGUAAAGGGUGACUGGAAACGAUCUAUUAAAAACCAGAUGUACUGGUUGGACUAGGUUAACACUCAUGACCAGAUCACCUGAUGGAAGCCGCCUGACGUUUCACAUUACAGUCAGAGUAUAUCUCUAAAUCUACACAUAUUUCUAAUGACUAAAGGGAGUUUCUGGGACGUGCCCAGCGUUAAAGCAUCUCAGAAUAGAGAGUUGGUUUACAUAAUUGCAUAAUUGACCCACAACCUUUGCAGUGUUUUUUCCCUGGCUUCUGUCAUGCGUAUCCCAUCAUGCAACAGGCCCAAGAACCAGAGUAUAACAAGGGUCUCGGGGUAAAUAUUUAUCACCUGUCCAAAAAAAAAUCUCACCGCUACAACUUCCAUAGGUAUAACCUUGUUACCAACGAUCAGAUUAACAAUAAGAAUACUUUAACUCUGUUACGUGAAUGAGUUCCUGGCCAGUUUACUGGUUUGCACGGUUUGCCUUCUGGUGUAAUUUGACACUAUUUGUCACAUCUGCAUAAAUAGUUAACAAACCGAAUAAACAGUGAUUUGAAACUGCAUUACGUGGAUGUAGCUGUCAGACAGAUUCUUGGAUGGUACAGCAGUUUCUUGCAUUUUUUAUGUGCCAGAAAUAGGUGUCACAAAAAAAAUCCCAAAUAAAUUGUUUAUUUUGUGGAAAAUGUGACAUUUUAAAAAUCUGAAUAAAUCCUCUCUCGGCGCAUUAGUAUGCGUACAAUCUGGGAAAAUGUCACUCAUCGAAUCCAAAUAAACUGAUACAAAUCAUCCAAAACAGACA